rnacentral:rRNA from 1 species
UAUAGUAGGAGGACAACCCCUUGAACUUAAGCAUAUCAUUAAAGGGAGGAAAA